UGAGUAACACGUAUCCAACCUGCCGACAACACUGGGAUAGCCUUUCGAAAGAAAGAUUAAUACCGGAUGGCAUAGUUUUCCCGCAUGGGAUAAUUAUUAAAGAAUUUCGGUUGUCGAUGGGGAUGCGUUCCAUUAGGCAGUUGGCGGGGUAACGGCCCACCAAACCUACGAUGGAUAGGGGUUCUGAGAGGAAGGUCCCCCACAUUGGAACUGAGACACGGUCCAAACUCCUACGGGAGGCAGCAGUGAGGAAUAUUGGUCAAUGGGCGAGAGUCUGAACCAGCCAAGUAGCGUGAAGGAUGACUGCCCUAUGGGUUGUAAACUUCUUUUAUACGGGAAUAAAGUGAGCCACGUGUGGCUUUUUGUAUGUACCGUAUGAAUAAGGAUCGGCUAACUCCGUGCCAGCAGCCGCGGUAAUACGGAGGGUCCGAGCGUUAUCCGGAUUUAUUGGGUUUAAAGGGAGCGUAGGCGGGUUGUUAAGUCAGUUGUGAAAGUUUGCGGCUCAACCGUAAAAUUGCAGUUGAUACUGGCGAUCUUGAGUGCAACAGAGGUAGGCGGAAUUCGUGGUGUAGCGGUGAAAUGCUUAGAUAUCACAAAGAACUCCGAUUGCGAAGGCAGCUUACUGGAUUGUAACUGACGCUGAUGCUCGAAAGUGUGGGUAUCAAACAGGAUUAGAUACCCUGGUAGUCCACACAGUAAACGAUGAAUACUCGCUGUUGGCGAUAUACAGUCAGCGGCCAAGCGAAAGCAUUAAGUAUUCCACCUGGGGAGUACGCCGGCAACGGUGCAACUCAGAGGAAUUGA
rnacentral:rRNA from 1 species